rnacentral:rRNA from 1 species
GACGAACGCUGGCGGCGUGCCUAAUACAUGCAAGUCGAACGAGAGCAACCGGUGCUUGCACUGGUCAAUCUAGUGGCGAACGGGUGAGUAACACGUGGGCAACCUGCCCAUCAGAGGGGGAUAACAUCCGGAAACGGAUGCUAAAACCGCAUAGGUCUUCGAACCGCAUGGUUUGAAGAGGAAAAGAGGCGCAAGCUUCUGCUGAUGGAUGGACCCGCGGUGCAUUAGCUAGUUGGUGAGGUAACGGCUCACCAAGGCCGUGAUGCAUAGCCGACCUGAGAGGGUGAUCGGCCACAUUGGGACUGAGACACGGCCCAAACUCCUACGGGAGGCAGCAGUAGGGAAUCUUCCGCAAUGGACGCAAGUCUGACGGAGCAACGCCGCGUGAGUGAAGAAGGUUUUCGGAUCGUAAAACUCUGUUGUUAGAGAAGAACAAGUGCUAGAGUAACUGUUAGCGCCUUGACGGUAUCUAACCAGAAAGCCACGGCUAACUACGUG